rnacentral:rRNA from 1 species
GAUGAACGCUGGCGGCGUGCCUAAUACAUGCAAGUCGAGCGAACGGACGAGAAGCUUGCUUCUCUGAUGUUAGCGGCGGACGGGUCAGUAACACGUGGAUAACCUACCUAUAAGACUGGGAUAACUUCGGGAAACCGUAGCUUAUACCGGAUAAUAUUUUGAACCGCAUGGUUCAAAAGUGAAAGACGGUCUUGCUGUCCCUUAUAGAUGGAUCCGCGCUGCAUUAGCUAGUUGGUAAGGUAACGGCUUACCAAGGCAACGAUGCAUAGCCGACCUGAGAGGGUGAGCGGCCACACUGGAACUGAGAGACGGAACAGACGCCUACGCGAGGCAGCAGUAGGGAAUCUUCCGCAAAGGGCGAAAGCGUGACGGAGCAAGGCCGCGUGAGUGAUGAAGGUCUUCGGAUCGUAAAACUCUGUUACUAGGGAAGAAAAAAUGUGUAAGUAAAUGUGCACAGCGUGACGGUACCUAAUCAGAAAGCAACGGCUAACUACGUG